GUCUGCGGCCAUGCCACCCUGAACAAGCUCAAUCCCGUCUGAUCUCGGAAGCUAAGCAGGGUCAGGCCUGGUUAGUACUUGGAUGGGAAACCACCUAGAAGAUCAGGUGCUGUAGGCA
rnacentral:rRNA from 1 species